rfam:Triticum urartu cultivar G1812 contig381005, whole genome shotgun sequence.
AAUAUACUCUCUCCGUAUAGAAAUACUUGUCAGAAAAAUGGAUGUAUCUAGACGUAUUUUAGUUUUGGAUACAUCCAUUUUUAUCCAUUGCUCCAACAAGUAUUUCCGGAUGGAGGACGUAUAUA